rnacentral:rRNA from 1 species
UACAUGGGGUGCAAACGUUGCUCGGAAUUAUUGGGCGUAAAGAGCUCGUAGGCGGCUUGUCGCGUCGUCCGUGAAAACUUGGGGCUCAACCCCAAGCUUGCGGUCGAUACGGGCAGGCUAGAGUUCGGUAGGGGAGACUGGAAUUCCUGGUGUAGCGGUGAAAUGCUUAGAUAUCGUCAAGAACACCUAUUGCGUAGGCAGCUUACUAGGCUCUAAUUGACACUGAGGCACGAAAGUGUGGGGAUCAAACAGG